UACGGGGGGAGCAAGCGUUGUUCGGAUUUACUGGGCGUAAAGGGCGCGUAGGCGGCGCAACAAGUCACUUGUGAAACCUCCAGGCUCAACCUGGAGACGCCACCCGAUACUGUCGUGACUAGAGUCCAGUAGGGGAGCGUGGAAUUCCUGGUGUAGCGGUGAAAUGCGCAGAUAUCAGGAGGAACACCAGCGGCGAAGGCGGCGCUCUGGGCUGGAACUGACGCUGAGGAGCGAAAGCGUGGGGAGCGAACAGG
rnacentral:rRNA from 1 species